rnacentral:rRNA from 1 species
UGGGGAAUAUUGCACAAUGGGCGAAAGCCUGAUGCAGCAACGCCGCGUGAGCGAUGAAGGCCUUUGGGUCGUAAAGCUCUGUCCUUGGGGAAGAAUAAAUGACGGUACCCUUGGAGGAAGCCCCGGCUAACUACGUGCCAGCAGCCGCGGUAAUACGUAGGGGGCAAGCGUUAUCCGGAAUUAUUGGGCGUAAAGAGUGCGUAGGUGGUUUCGUAAGCGCGAGGUGAAAGGCAAUGGCUCAACCAUUGUAAGCCUUGCGAACUGUGAGACUUGAGUGCAGGAGAGGAAAGUGGAAUUCCUAGUGUAGCGGUGAAAUGCGUAGAUAUUAGGAGGAACACCAGUGGCGAAGGCGACUUUCUGGACUGUAACUGACACUGAGGCACGAAAGCGUGGGGAGCAAACA